CCUACGGGGGGCAGCAGUAAGGAAUAUUGGACAAUGGGCGCAAGCCUGAUCCAGCCAUGCCGCGUGCAGGAUGACGGCCCUAUGGGUUGUAAACUGCUUUUAUACGGGAAAAAACCCCUCUACGUGUAGAGGGCUGAUGGUACCGUAAGAAUAAGGAUCGGCUAACUCCGUGCCAGCAGCCGCGGUAAUACGGAGGAUCCGGGAGUUAUCCGGAUUAAUUGGGUUGAAGGCGGGCUUAGAAGUCUUUGUUGAAAGCCUGCAGCUUAACUGUAGAACUGCCAUUGAUACUGCAAGUCUUGAGUACAUAUGAUGUGGGCGGAAUGUGUAGUGUAGCGGUGAAAUGCUUAGAUAUUACACAGAACACCAAUUGCGAAGGCAGCUCACAAAACUGUAACUGACGCUGAGGCACGAAAGCGUGGGGAGUGAACAGGAUUAGAUACCCUAGUAGUC
rnacentral:rRNA from 1 species